rnacentral:lncRNA from 1 species
UCCCUGGCCAUAUUUCUCCUCUCCUCUCCUCGUUUUUUUACGUGACUUGAAUUUUCCCAGACAGCUCCCUUAUGAGCUGCUCGCUGAGUGAAGGGGCAGGUCAGGGCCAAGUCCUGAGUAAGUCUGGCCUUGUUAGGGACUGACCUGGCCUUCAGCAGCAGCAGAUUCAGACCAGAGGCUCAAGGGAUAUGCUUCCGUCCUUCCUUGCUCACGGGGUGACCUGCAGGAUUCCUGCCUGCGGAGCUGGGGCCCUGCCGCUGACCUUCAGACUUCCAGGGUGCCCCUGCGAGGGGAAAGGGGUGCUCGCCAUAUCGAUGUAAACAAAAUCUGCUCCUUAUGGGGUACCCAAGAGCCCAUAUAGAGUCCUUAAGUGGGUUCCCCAUGGGUAGGAGGAAAUAACAGGCCAACCAGAGAAUAUUGAGAAGCAAAGCAGCUUGUAAGCCUGAUCUUUAUUAAACUAUUGCAACAGGGUCCUCACUGCCACACGCAGGAGGGAGGAGGGACCCAGUGCAAUGGUGUGCAAGCUCUUAUAUUGACUUUUGAAAUUGCCCACCCUGUAGCUCAAGGAAAAGGUAAAGGUACCCCUGCCCGUACGGGCCAGUCUUGCCAGACUCUAGGGUUGUGCGCUCAUCUCACUCUAGAGGCCAGGAGCCAGCGCUGUCCGAAGACACGUCCGGGUCACGUGCCCAGCGUGACAAGCUGCAUCUGGCGAGCCAGCGCAGCAGACGGAACGCCGUUUACCUUCCCGCUAGUAAACGGUCCCUAUUUAUCUACUUACACCCGUGAGCACAGAGACAAGAGGGAGGCUUUUCCCAUUUCCUUCCUCCUUGCAGAGAAACAUUUGAGGUCCAUUUGGGAGUCAAAAUGGUUUCAGGAUUGCUCUCCUGUACUAUUCCAGACACGUGGUUGAUAUACUUACGUAUGUGUUUGCCUUGUACAUUUAUGAACAUAUGAUUUAUAUAUAUGAGACCUUAGAAUUCCUCUAACACUUGCUCACAGGGUGACCUGCAGGCUCCCUGCCUGCAGAGCUGGUGUGCUGCUGCUGGGCUUCAGACUUCCAGGGUGCCCCUGCGAGGGGAAAGGGCAGUUGCUUCAAGAUGAAUUCUUUGUAGGAAGCAACAAAUCAAUGGGAAGGGCUGUGGCUCAGUGGCGGAGGAUCUGCCUUGCAAGCAGAAGGUUGCAGGAUCAAUCCCUGAUGGCGUCUCCUUCAGGUACAGUUGGGAGAGACUCCUGCCUGAAAUCCUGGACAGUCGCUGCUGCCAGCCAGUGCAGGCAGCGCUGAGCCAAGUGAAGCAAAGGUCUGGCAAUAUCAGAGGCAGAUUUCUGCAGUUUCUAUAACAACAGCAGCAGGAUGCCUUGUGCCGGAAAGCAAACAGGCUUUGAAGGAUGAUUCCCCCCCUUCUCCGCAAAGAUGAGGGGUUAGGACAUGCUUGUGAAAAGCAGGAGGGGGGCAGUGGUGUGGGGGGGCAAGGAGGGACCCCCGCAGAGGCUGCCUGCUGAGAUGCUGGUGGGGCUUGAAAGGCUUCAUUGCAAGACCAACCCAAAAGGCUCCAAAUUGAUCAUUAUUAUCGCCCGGAAGGAAACAAAGGCUCUCUGGCUGUUCUUGCAAUUGGCAAGACUUGGGUGGUGAGAGAGGAGCCAUGCGGAGCUGGCAAGCGAGGGAGUCUGGAUGCCGCCCAGAGGGCAGACCCCCGGCUGCCAAGCCCUGUGCCACCCUGGGGGGGAGGCACAUCCGUCCGCCAAGCCUCGGGUUGUGGCUUGGCUGGCAUUGGGGGGCCUGGCCUCACCAGCAGGGCACAGACCCAGGCCUGGCAUCUGCGCUGGCCCUGCAAGGGGGUGGCAGCCACAGCCUCACAUGGGGGGGGAGGCGUGGAUUAGGAGCCAGCAGUCAAACAGGAGGGCAAAGCAAGAUCACCACCCCCACCCCCGGCCAGGCUGCUUUAGGAGCUUCUAAGAACUCCUGCUGCUGCCUGGAGAUGGAUCCUGGCCACCUGCCCAGAGGAAUGGGCCAAGGACAGGCAUUUUCCCAGCACCAGGAGGAGGAGGAGGAGGAGGAGGAGGAGGAGGAAAAGCAGCUGGGUUGAAGGCUGCCAAGGCUGCCUGGGAGUCUGCUUCUGCUGUUUUUUCUCCGGCGAUCACUCGUAGCAUCACUUGUAGCCGAGUAAGAUGGUCUUCCAUGAACAUGGUUUUAACAAUGAGUCCGUAAGUGACUGUGGAGGCCAAUUCUGGAUCCACACGUCCUUCCACAGUGGGGACAUUGGUUUCCAGGUGGGAGUUGAUCAUGGUGUGGAUUUGCCAAGCGUGGCUUCCUCUUCGCACGUUUCUCCCUUGCGUCCUGAGUUCAAGUGUCUUCAAAGCCCACGACACCUUUGGGAAAGGCUGUUCUCCAACUGGAGCACUCGCAGGCCAGUGUUUCCCAAUUGUUGGUGUUUGUACUACAUUUUUAAAGAUUUGCCUUGAGACAGUCUUUAAACCUCUUUCCUUGAUCACCAGCAUUACACUUUCCAUUUUUAAGUUCGGAAUAGAGGAGUUGCUUUGGAAGACGAUAAUCAGGCACCCAAACAACAAGACCAGUCCAACAAAGUUGAUGUUGAAGAAUCAUUGCUUCAACCCUGCUUCAUAAAUAUGUUGGAACCAGGUCACCUUGAUAUGACCCUCUCUCCUUCCUUCCUUCCUUCCUUCCUUCCUUCCUUCCUCCUCCAAUGCCAAAUGUAGAUGACUGGAGCAGGGAAAUGGGCAGGCCUCCUUAGCACCUAAGCAGAAGCUGCAGAAUCAGGCCAACAGCCCAUCUAGCCCCUCAUCCUUUUCUCAGAGUGGCCGACCAGAUGACCAUUAUCAGGAUCUGAGCACAGGAGCAACUCUCCCCUGCUGUAAUUUGCAGCCACUGGCUACUUUUUGCAAUAGGAAUUCCACCCACCCCAUGGGAGAAGCAGGAAGAAGCCCAGAACAAAGGGAUGCUCCCUCUUUUAUAAGUUUCCCCUUUUCCCCAUAAACACCUCUGGUGAAUCAUCAUGCAGACAUCAUAGAUACAUCAUACAUAUGUCACAAAGGAGGGAGGUCUCUGGCAGAAACCGGUUCCUCAGGUUCUGCCAGCCUCCUCCUCACACCCACCGAGAUCCUGCACCACCGGAAGCAGCACCAGGCGCCCCCCUGAGAACUGCGGCCCUGGCGGGGGCCUCUCAAGGUCGGGUGAGCCUGGCAUGGGGGUUGCCUUCUUCCUCCCCCUGGCGCCUUUCCCUCAGCCUCACGAACUGACCCCCUGCCCCUCUCCUCCCUACUUGAGCUGCCCUGAGCCUGGACUUGGGGGGGCUCUUUGCACCUGGAAGAGUGUAAAUAAAAAGGUGUGGCUUUGAUUAAAGAGCUGGGCUCUGCCUUGUGGCUUCUAGUGGGGCGCCACCCUGGAGCAAAGGGCCCCUCGAUUUCCCCACAUCCAAGAGUCCUUCUGGGCAGACACUUGGGUCUUUCUUAAGAGUAGCCCCCUGGAUCUGGCCUGCGGUCCAUUGUGAACACCUUUGGUGAAGCAUCAUGCGUACAUCACAGACACAUCACACAUAGGUCACAAAGAGGGAGGGGUUUUCAGGCAGGUUUGCCCCCAACUCUCCCUUGCCCACCCCCAGACACCCAUCAAGUGAUGCAGAAGAAACAUCUACAAGUCCCUGUUUUUCCUGGUCAAGGUAACCACACUCCUUUGUCCUGACGGAGGACCUAAUCCAUUCCUGGAGGGUCUGCUAUUGUCUGUGGAACAGACCAGUAAGAAGUAAGCAGCACACAAAACACUACCAAGCCAUUCUACGUUCUAAAUCUUAUAUUAAUAAGAUGUGCUGGUGUGCUUUCGAACUGCUAGAUUGGCAGGAGCUGGGACUGAGCAACGGGAGCUCACCCCGUCACGGGGAUUCAAACCACUGACCUUCUGAUCGGCAAGUCCUAGACUCUGUGGUUUAACCCACAGUGCCACCCACAUCCCUGCCCCCUCCCAACCUUUACAUAAAUUCUGGUAACGCCCCAAACCUUUCCCAGCCCUGCAAUAUCCCUCAUGAGGUAAGGCAACCAGAACCGCACAUGAUAUUCUUCUGAACGCAGCUGCACCAUAGAUUCCUGUAGCGGCUGAGGAUGCCAGCGCUCUGAUCUCACCCGGCAGUCGGUGUGGCAGGAGAAUAAGGAAGGUCAUCUCUGGCAAGGUGACUCUGCUUAUCAGCUCCCCUUAGCAGAGGAAGCCGCUCUCUCGCCCUGACACUUGAUAUAUGGCCUCAGCAGCGUGGAUCCGGCCCCCCACUGCGCACGAGUGAUGCCUCAGCAGUUCCACUGCAAUAACCCUCCCGGGCACUUUGCAAGUUGCCUGUGAAGAAGUCGCUCCAGGCUCCAGCCUGGCACAUUUUCCUCGGCUAGAAAACUCUGCUAGCGAGAAACCUCUCCAGCUCCCUGCCUGCCCCGCAGAAUCAUAGAAAUGUACAGUUGGAAGCGGCCCCAAGGGCAGGGCCGGCCCGUCUCAUUUCACCGCCUGAGGCAAGACAGGACGGUGCUGCCCUGAGCCGCCGCUGAAACCUCGCUUGCUGGGGGGAGGGGGCAGCGGCAGCAGCUGCUUCCAGGAUCCAGCCAGAGCUCACGAGAGCCUUGUGAGAUCUCAUGGGGUUUUCCAAGGCUGCCACGAGAUCUCGCUGGAGCCCGGAGGUCCAUGGCAGUGCCCCAUGGAUUCUGCCGCCUGAGGCAGGGACCUGCCCAAGAGUCACCUAGUCCAACACCCUGCAAGGCUGAAAUCACAGCUAAAGAAUCAUGGAAAUGGGGAGUUGGAGAGGGGGCCAAGGGUCAUCUAGUCCAACCCCUGCAACCAAAGUAUUUUCCACACUAGGGGUAGGACAGGCCUUUCUGCGUCAUGAUCAGCCGUGGAGGAUCCUCCACACGAGGCUGGGGUGGUGUGAUGGUGGCAGGGCAAGCCCCCCCACGGGGUGCCUUCUUGUCACCCCCUCAAAAAUGGCACCCGGGGCGCUCUGCCCCCACUGCCCCCACUUCCUCCGCCACUGGUCAUGACCCCCAAACAACAGAACUCUCUCCCAUGGGAGGUGACAUUGCCCCCCCCCCCCCGGCCAGGCUGGGCUCAUGGUGUUCUUAUUUUAAGGUUUGCUUGCAUCUGUCUUCGGAGGAAGCUGGGCAUCAAGGAGUCUCUGAUUUGGGUCUGUCUAGGGCUAAAUUCUACUCAGACCCAUUGGAAUUAAGGGAUGUAAAUUAGUCAUUUCAGUGGGGAUGCAGGUGGCGCUGUGAUCUAAACCACUGAGCCUCUUGGGCUUGCCGAUCAGAAGGUCGGCGGUUCAAAUCCCCGCGAUGGAGUGAGCUCCCGUUGCUCGGUCCCUGCUCCUGCCAACCUAGCAGUUCGAAAGCACGGCAAAGUGCAAGUAGAUCAAUAGGUACCGCUCCGGCCGGAAGGUAAAUGGCGUUUCCGUGAGCUGCUCUGGUUCGCCAGAAGCGGCUUCGUCAUGCUGGCCACAUGACCCGGAAACUGUCUGCAGACAAACGCCGGCUCCCUUGGCCUAUAGAGUGAGAUGAGCGCUGCAACCCCAGAGUCGUCUGCGACUGGACCUAACGGUCAGGGAUACCUUUACCUUUACUAAUUUCAAUGGGUCUACUCUUGAGUAUGUCUAGCAUAGGGUCCUGGUCUCUGCUGAAGAGUAUAAGUGAGUUUAAUAUGAUUCUAUGCUGAAACACACCAAACUGCGGGAGGCAGUGGAAGACAGGAGUGCCUGGCGUGCUCUGGUCCAGGGGGUCACAAAGAGGCGGACACGACUAAACGACUAAACAACAACAUGCUGAAACACUUAAUUGUAUUUAAAAGACGUUUUACGACGUCUUCAGGUUCCUUUCCUGUCUAGUGUCAGCUUGAGGUUCACUGUUACUUAUUAAAUUUGUACACAGCCCUUCAUGCGAAGAUCCCAGUGGAUGGGGAGGAGAGUGACAGCAUUACUGUUUCCCACGGUGCCACUCCCCUCGAGUCCCUCCGGUCAGAAAAAGAAGGAGUCUCCAGCCAGGAGACCUGAUCUUUGUUGCAAACACCAAGGAGGAAGAACUCCGAGCAGGGGGUUGCAUGAUCUUUUAAGACUCCCCCCCCCCCCUUUCUCCAUAAUACAUUUCCAGUAGCAUCACCCGUGCAUCACAGAUAUGUCACAGAAGAGGAGUGGCUCUCAUGGAGAAACAUGGAACUGUCCCCCAGUUAAAGAACAAGAACAUUAUUAGUGGCACCCGACCUGUGGAACGGUGGAACGCCCUCCUGUCAGAUGUCAAGGAAAUAAACAACUAUCUGACUUUUAGAAGUCAUCUGAAGGCAGCCCUGUUUAGGGAAGUUUUUAAUGUUUGAAGUUUUAUUCUGUUUUUAAUGUUCUGUUGAAAGCUGCCCAGAGUGGCUGGGGAAACCCAGCCAGAUGGGUGGGGUAGAAAUAACAGUAACAAUAACAAUAACGAUAAUUUGUUGUUGUUGUUGUUGUUAUUUACACAUUUCUCUGGGUUCCAGCCUUUCCUGUUUGCGCACUUUGAAAGGAUCCAGUCCAUUCACCAAUGGAUUUCUGUCUGGAAUACUGUUGCUCCUGAAAACCUCCUGCCCCCCCCCUUGGGGCUUGUUUUCACACCUUGUGGAGGAGUGAGGAGACCUUAGGGGGGUUAUGGAGGAAGGAAGGAGCCUCGAUCCACCCCCACCCCCCUUUAGGAGUAAUAUGCCAUUUGAAUGGAGAGAAUCGGACAAACCGUUGAUUUUUUGUCAAUUUUUGAAGGUUUGGUAUGUUUUAGGGAACGGUCAGGCUCAUCAUCCUGGUUUUAGUUUGAGGCUGUGAUGGGGACUUCGGAUUUUUAAAAAUGUAUAUAUUUUAAUUCAUUUUCACUUUUAACAUUUCUCAUCAUACAUAAAUCACAAUCAUUUUACAAAUAGGAUUCUUAGAAUCCCCGAACGUCCCUCCAUGCACCCGUGGUUUCCCCAGAUAUUCUUUCCAAACUGCAUCGUAUCGUAUUCUCCAUAUUUUCUUAAAACUCAAUUUUUAUCAUAGUUUUCGCUUCAUCGCAAGUGUUUUUAAAAUCCUGCCAAUGUUUUCAACCAGUGGUGCCCAAGCUUUUUUCAAAGAUUUGAAGAAGUGAAGGGCCCUGAGGUCCAGCCAAAGGUUAACCUUUUUAAAGGAUUGAAGUUGUUGAGCUUUUUUAGGAUUUUACCCCAGGAAAUAAACUGCCACGGGGGCCGGAUUAAACCCUCAAAACAGACUUUGGACAUGCCUGGUUUAUACAGUGCUCUUUCAAGUAACUUAUAAAAUUUUCCCAUUCUUUAUAGAAUUUGUUGUCCUCUUGAUCUCUGAUUUUCCCGGUCAUUUUCCCCAAUUCAUGGGGACUUCGGAUUUUCAAGUUAUCACAACUACCCCCCCUUUUGUUUUAACCAGGUUGUCCAGGCCACUCCUGCCAACAUCCUUUGACUCUGCUGCAAGAAGAAGGACUUUCUUUCCUCUGCCCUGAAUCUUCCAACAAAAUGAUGAUUGUUAUGUACUGAGUUGAAUAGGAUCCAAAAGGCAGCAGUCUGAUUGGUCCUAGAACAAUAGGGUCCAGAAUGCAGCAGUCUGAUUGGUCCACAGGAGCCACCCAAUCCAGCUCCAGGUAGAAGUGAAUCCACAACCUGAUUGGCCUACAGGAGAAUCCCGGAAUUAGCCAAUCACGUGGGGCCCAUUGUGUAAAUAAUGUAUAUAAAGCAGACAUUCUGGGGGAACUUCCAUUCCUCCUCACCACUAUGAGCUGAAUAAAGAGCAUGAAAUCCACUCUCGACUCUGAGUAUAUUUCAGUAGCCAUCCCAGCCACUUGGACCACUUGGCAGCUGGCAGGGCC